CUGGGUGUAGGGGUGCGUGCGUGCAGUGGACAUAUGUAGGGUGUAUGUUUGUGUGUGUGUGUGUAUAUAGUGUGUCUGUGUGCAUGUGCACUCUGUGUGUAGGGGAGUGUGUGUGUGUGCACUCUGUGUGUGUAGGAUGUGUGUGUGUGUAUACAGUGUGUCUGUGUGCACUCUGUGUGUAGGUGUGUGUGUGUGUAUGUGUGCACUCUGUGUGUAGGGGUGUGUGUGUGCAGUGAGUAUGUGUAGGGUGUGUGUGUGUGCACUCUAGGAUAUGUGUGUGUGUGUGUAUACAGUGUGUCUGUGUGCACCCUGUGUGUAGGGGUGUGUGUGUGUGUGUGCAUACAAUGUGUCCGUGUGCGUGAGCACUCUGUGUGUAGGAGUGGGUGUGCACGGUGCGUGUGUGUAGGAUGUGUGUAUGGUGUGGUGCACCAGGAGGUGAUACAGGGUGCUGGGGGGAGGCUGUGUUUUAUUCACCUCCAGUGACACAAGGGCGCAGAUGGGAGAAGGCGGCCCCCAGGCUGAGCCUCCCCCCCCGACCUGCUUUCUCUCUCCUGCCCUCUCAGACACAAACCCUACCCCCGCCGAAGCCCUGGCAAGUCUCUGCAGGACCCCACAGCGCAGCGACUGCCCCACAGGCCACUGAGCGCAGACCCCCAAACCCAGCAGGGUGGAGCCCGUCUGAUCAGAACCCCCAGGGGCUGCAGCAUCCCCGCCCCACAUGCCCAGGACUUCAUACCCCCAGCUUCCUCGUGGGCCCCACACCCUCCCCACGCCUGCCCCCAGACUCCUGGGUCCCCAGAGCCAUGUGUCCCCAGCCAGCUCACAGAGAUGGGUCCGAGCAGCAGGUUUCAGCCUGGGAUCUGGGUUGGACCCUCCCCACAGCUCGAGCGGCCGGAUAGAAAUGGUGAUCUGGGGUGUGGGGGGUGGGUUGUGGGGGACAGAGAUCCUGGUCAGGGGGUUGGACCCCGGUUGGGGGGCUAAACAGGGCUGGGGAUCUGUGUCGUGGGGGGCAGCAUUGGAAUCCAGGGCUUGGUGCUGGGAUUGCACCCUGCCUUGUUCCAGAGUCUGGGGCCCCAAUCCUGGCACGUUGGGGGGUGCCCUGAAUGAACCACCCCAGUGAGCAGUUCCAUGCAGGCAGGACAGGGCUCACUCUCCGCCCCCCAAGUGGUGACCCAUCUGCCUUGGGAAAAUCUCCCACCCCCAGCUGGGAUCUCGGGUUCCCAGCACCUGCCGGAGCAGUGGGGACCUGAACAAAGUCUCCUUUGAGAGGCCGUGGCUGGGCUGCUG